AUAUUUCUGUAAUAUUAGCAAAGGUUCAGCAAAACAGAAGUCUGAUCAUUUUUUUCAGCCUAUUAAAUUUUUUUUUUUUUUUUAUUAUGGCUUUCAAAUAUAAUCAUCAAUCCCUAUUCUCAGCCAUUUUAUCCUUAGAAAUAAAAAAUAAAUGCCCAUUUCACAGGUCUUGGUUGCCUUUUAUUAUUUGCAUUUGUCAUUGCUUCUCUCUGCUAUCUGCAAUCAUAAUAAUCUGAAAAAAAAUUUGGACACAUAAAAAAAAAUAUAAAAAUAUAUAUUGAAAUAAAAAAACCUGUGACAAAUGAAUUAAUAAUUACUAAUGUAUGAACUUUACAAAGUAAAUCUCUCUUCUUCACAGAAAAUAAAACUUUUACUCUGAUAUAGAUGUUUGAAAACGCUGGUCCCCAGACAGUAGGACUAUGAUUUUAUUGUUCACUGGUGAGACACUGAGGUUGUAACAGAUGGAAAUACAUAAUUAAUAGGCACUGGCUCAAUGCAUAAAUGAAUCUGUGCUGUUUUUCCUGUCAUGACACCUACAGAGAUUUCCACAAUCCAAUGAAUUAUGAACACAUAAAAGAAGAAGGACAAGAAAAAACAACAUGCCAAAAUGAAUCCAUCAGCCUAAACUGCAUUCAAAAGCGCAGGAACUCACGAUCCUGAAGGGCGACGAGAGCCUCAGAUCUGUCGUGCUGCAUGCGGGGGUGAACGACAUCAGGCUGCGGCAGAUGGAGGUUCUAAAGCAGGACUUAAUCGUGUCUGGACCGCUUAUGAUGUACAGACGAGGAAAUGAAAGGUUCAUAAGAUUAUUUUCUCUAAAUUA
rnacentral:lncRNA from 1 species